AUUGAACGCUGGCGGCAGGCCUAACACAUGCAAGUCGAACGAGUGGCGGACGGGUGAGUAAUGUCUGGGAACCUGCCUGUUGGAGGGGGAUAACUACUGGAAACGGUAGCUAAUACCGCAUACCCUCGGAUGUGCCCAGAUGGGAUUAGCUAGUAGGUGGGGUAACGGCUCACCUAGGCGACGAUCCGUAGCUGGUCUGAGAGGAUGACCAGCCACACUGGAACUGAGACACGGUCCAGACUCCUACGGGAGGCAGCAGUGGGGAAUAUUGGACAAUGGGCGAAAGCCUGAUGCAGCCAUGCCGCGUGUAUGAAGAAGGCCUUCGGGUGGAAAAGUACUGUCAGCGGGGAGGCGUGACCCGCAGAAGAAGCACCGGCUAACUCCGUGCCAGCAGCCGCGGUAAUUC
rnacentral:rRNA from 1 species